GGGAUUGGAGCUGAUUCUGAAUUUCUGAUUGAAUAGGGUUUAAGGGUUUUGGGAUAUGGAGGCCAGGAAGCUUUUGAAUGACAAGAAAUUCUGGAUUGCAUCAUUCCUAAUUGGGUGGGCUGCUGCCCUUCAGGGGCAUAUGAUGUGGCUGCAGAGACAAGACUCCUUUAAGGAAAAGUUUGGGGAUCUCAGUGUAGCCAAGACCAAUGAUACUGAUAAUUAAGAUUUAAUCUUAGCAUUACCAUCAGAAUUGUAUGUAAACAAUUCCCAAGUUUUGUUGUUUUCAAUUUGUGUGAUUGGUUUCUGUGAUUGGGAGGGAGUAAAAUUUUAGUUUGUGGAGAUACACUGAUGUAGAAAUAGAAGUGUGGGUGUAUAAAAUAUUAAGGAAAAUAAAGCUGAGUCCAUUGUUGGUGCCAGUAGUGUUACUACUUGGCACUAUUUAGAAGUUUUAUGGAAACAAUUCAUAUAACUAUCUACUUCUACUUCUGCGUGAUUUUGCAAAAGUAGAAUUCUUAGCAAUUGCAUAGAAAACGUUGGAUGG